UUGAAACCUGGGGUCUCUGGACAAACAGCGCAGUGACUAGGCCGCUUUUUGUGAAGUCCUGAGGCCUGGAGAGAGCUGAGUCCAUGCAGAGCGUGCGAGGCCGACGGGUCAGAGACUGAGAUGGCAGAUGGUCACCAGGGCAGCACUGCAGAGCCCGUCGCUCAGGCCGGGGCUGAAGAACGGGUACAGGCGCUCGGUGAACGUGUCAGUGAAGGUGUAGAGGUGUGACAUCCGCUCGGCGUCGUAGAAGGAUACCUGCCCGGCCUCGUAGUCCAGGCGGUAUUGGAGGGGCCCUUUAAAAAGGCCCAGGCACAGCUUUGCUGAGAGCACGGAAGGGUGGUGAAUCUCCUCGCGGGGCCUGUGUGCAGGGAGAUAGACGGCGUCAGUGGCGACAAAAGCUUAGGGACGGCUUCUAAAUGCAGCAGGUCAAAGAGCGGGCUGGACCGGAGGCCCCUACCUCCACCAGCUCCUGCCCCACACCCUUCCCCAGUUACCUACCGGGUUUGGCCUUAACAGAUUCAGAGAUGGAGUGCGUUCCCCCAUCCGGGAGGGUGUCCUACCCUCGAGGGAGAUCAGCUUUCAGAGGCCGGUCGGCACCGCAGGGCCUGAGGCAUGUUAUCACCCCGGAGAAUGUCGCUUCGGUCCAAUGGGUCUCUGUCCAUUUUUCUUUCCAAGUUUCCAUUUGGUUGUGUUCCCUUCGUUACGGUACCCCAAGCAGGGCCAACUAAACCCUCUGUUUUUUCAAAGAGCACAGGCAGCUUUCCUUUCAGUUUGAAAAAUAGAGUAGAGGGGAACCUAGCUCAAGAGCGCCACCCGGUGCAGUGGCCAUCACUGGAACUACAGGGUGGUUUCUGAGACUGAAGUCGGUGGGAGGGUAGGUGACGAGUCGGGAGAAAUCGGAACCACGCCUGGUGUUUUAGUGGAAAGAAGCUGGCUGGAGCACCCCUGUACAAGCAGGAGAGAGGGUGCAGGCUGGUGACCCGUAGGAGAUGGGUUAGAAAGGUCGGGGGAGGGAGUGCCAUUGGAUGGCACUUCUGCUUGGCACAUGACAGUUCCCUAGAGGAGGUAUCCUCUCUGCCAGCCCAGCACUGGCACCGACGAUGCAAGUUGCCAAACCAUACCAGUACUGCCCUCCCCUCCCCAAACUUCUCAUAUGAUGGAGACAGAACGAGGCCUGUAAAUGAUCUGAGGGCCUGAGCAGGACCAAAGUGGGGGGCCAGGCUGACAGCCUUACCGCUUUCAGCACCCACGGACAGCAGGGUGAGUGCGAUGGGCCGAAAGGCCGGUACAAUGCUAUGACGCCGCAGUGUGAUGAAGAGACGGUGUGCUGGUUAGGUCGGGACAUACGAGAAACAAGAGCAGAUGGAUGUAAUUCGGCCCAUCGAGCCUGCUGGGAAUAAUGUCAACGAUCCGAGGGCUCAACCCCAAUCUCCUGCCUUAUCCCCAGGCUCCUCAAUAUCUAUCUUUCUCAUCAAUCUCUGCCUCAGCUUCUGUCUGGGCCAAACGAUGCCUGAGAUUCAUCAGCCUCUGAGUAAAGAAAUUCCUCUUUA